rnacentral:rRNA from 1 species
UACGGGGGGAGCAAGCGUUGUUCGGAUUUGCUGGGCGUAAAGGGCGCGUAGGCGGUCAGCACAAGUCAGUUGUGAAAUCUCCGGGCUUAACCCGGAAAGGUCAACUGAUACUGUGCGACUAGAGUGCGGAAGGGGCAACUGGAAUUCUCGGUGUAGCGGUGAAAUGCGUAGAUAUCGAGAGGAACACCUGCGGCGAAGGCGGGUUGCUGGGCCGACACUGACGCUGAUGCGCGAAAGCCAGGGGAGCGAACGGG